UUUAUAAGUAACAGUUUUCAACUCUUCCCGGCGUAUCCAUUUUGAACUGAAGGACUGGUCAUGCAUUUGUUUUGAAAGUUUCGUCUAAAAGUUCUUGAAUACAAUAUGAACUUGACCUGCAGUCACCUUACUUGGAAUUGAGAUGGAUUGUGAAGAGCCAGGCUAUGGUUGCCCUUAGCAUUUCUUUGAAAUGAUAACAUCAAUUAAAGAAAUUAAAAACUUUUUCAAAAUAACGUUUACUAUAGCCAUGCUUUAAAAUACAUCAAUAAAAGAUAACUUUUUCAUUUUCAAAAACUGGUUAUGAUGUUGGGUACCAUUUCUUUAACAAAACAUUGUAACAGCAUGGAUCCCUCCCUAUAAUCACACUAACUUUUAAGAGUAUCCUAGGUCAUUUACCAUAUCUUAAAAUGAAAUAUAAUUAACUAACUUGUGAAGAAAAUUUUGAUUGAAAAUAGUUUUACUCAUUUCUACUCUGUAGAUACUAUAUAUUGCACAAAAACUGCACCUGGACUGGAGACACAACUGGACUAGAAAACAACUGGACUGAAGACCCAAACACUGCACCUAGACUGAAGACUUUAGA